GUUUAACGCAUGGGAAUGCAAGUAUAUGUACGUAAUAAUUAAGUAGAGAUCCGGUUUUAUUUUUAAAGGAUGAACUCUUGAAACUGUUAGCGCUUAUCAAUGACAUGUUAAGAAAUAGUUAAUAGUCGGAGAAACGGCUCAGACAUGUAAUUAAGUACAGAGAUUCUCUUCCAUGCCGCUUUUAAAAUGAAUAAAUGCCAUCGACCCGC
rnacentral:lncRNA from 1 species